rnacentral:rRNA from 1 species
GACGUAGGGCGCGAGCGUUGUCCGGAUUUAUUGGGCGUAAAGAGCUCGUAGGCGGUUUGUCGCGUCUGCCGUGAAAGUCCGGGGCUCAACUCCGGAUCUGCGGUGGGUACGGGCAGACUAGAGUGAUGUAGGGGAGACUGGAAUUCCUGGUGUAGCGGUGAAAUGCGCAGAUAUCAGGAGGAACACCGAUGGCGAAGGCAGGUCUCUGGGCAUUAACUGACGCUGAGGAGCGAAAAGCAUGGGGAGCGAACAGG